CCUCCUUCUUGGCACUCCUACACUUAUAAUGGUGUUGAUGUGAAUGCUUAAUGGAGGUACAGCAAUUAAGGACUAUGCCUUCGGUGCCAAGACUUGUGUUUUGGACCUAUCCUUGAGGUCCUUUACAAGU